UUCAACCAUUCUUUGGCCUGAUUUGUUCUGUUUUCUUGGGUGCUUGGCCUCAGAACUGAAGCCCCAGGAGAGGAAACAGGCUCCACCACGGACCCUCUCCUCACCCAGAGCUGACGGGGGCCCACGGAUGUCGUAGCUUAAGACAGUUUUCUUGGUAUCCGUGUUUAUCCGAAUUCAAUUUUAACGCUCAGCACUUUGAAGAUGAGGUUAUUUCGAUAUUCAUGAAAUUGUGGGAUUAGUCAAAGAAAGAAGGCUGUAAGCGGCGGCUGUUGGAGCGAGUGAACACCAACACACAGGGGACGGUCUGAGGAAAGGGAAGAAGAAAACUGAGAUUCGAUUAACAAAUGCAGAAUUGCAGGAAAAAACCCAUGCUUUCUGAAAAGAUGAAGACAAACCCCAUCAUCAAGGCGGAAGCCAUUUUAAAAGAGGCGUUUGGGAUCCGGGCUUCCGUCUGGAGAGGAAGACAUACCUUGAGCACCGUGUGUGUAUCUAACGAGCUUAUAGUAAAGGCUGUGUGUGACCCUCUGAACUCCCUCGUCAACCUUAGAAGAAUUCGUUAAUUUUCACUGAAUGUCUCGGAUUCAGCACAACGCAUUUGCCAAUCCCUGCUGCCCUCCAGGGAUUAGUUAGCUGAUUCCCGGUGUUAUUUAUGGCUUUUCUCUCUAACUAUCUCUCUCUGUCUCUGUCUCUCUUUCGCCUGCCUUGGGGAAGAAGGAGCCAUGCAGCCCCUUCCAUGGAUGGUGGCCCCGAGACACCUGGGAGAGCCCAGACCCACUGGGUGGAUGCCGACUCUCGGCAGCCCUGUCCCCACGCAGGUCUGGUUUUAUUUUGUUCAGAAUCUCUAAGUGUUCAGUGUAAGGCUUGUGUCUUGAACGACUGCAGGCAUCCCCUGAACGUCACCAUCAUCAUGGACCAAUUUCCAUGCUCCCUCCCUAACUUCCAUCCUUCCUAGCAGUGGUGAUGUCACCCCCGUGCCCGCUGAGGGCUUUCCAAGGAGGUGUAGCUGAUCCCUACUGGGGUCCUGUCCGUGCCUCAUGUCCCCCCAACACCUGGGGCACAGUGUCCAUGGCCACCACCGUCUGCUGAGGGGAUGUGGCAGAGCCUUUAAACAAGGGCAAAGGACAAGUACAAGUAAGAACUAAGAAGCUGAUUCUCCCUGUUGGAAAUCAGGGGAAGACUUCCAUCCCGUUCCUUUCUGUGUUGGACUAGUUACCUUAGAGGAUGUGUCAUUGUAAAUUCUUUCUCCUCUCUCUGAAGUGUAUAUAAACCCCUUUGCAGACUAGAUAGGUCUCUGGUGCGCUUUGGGACCCGGGAUUGCCUUUCUCAAGCACCAGGAAGGGAGGAAGCACCCCAUCUCCCAGUCCCUGUUGGGGGACUCGAAGUCUAACUCUUGUGGGAGCUUGCUCCACGUUGCAAAGCUACCUCCUCUCAUAAGGUAGGAGAAGGUUGUUUUCCCUCUGAACAGAGCUGCCUAGCGAACACCAACACAGGUGGUCACCCUAGGACCAGGCUAGAGUAGGAUGAACUCUGCCUGACAAACGGGGCUGUCAAGUCUUCUGCUUGAGGACUAGUUAUCGUGUCCCUUGAGAGCAUGCGUGUAGUAUGUGGUAUCUGCGUGGCCAUGUUCUGGGUGAGAUUUCUUUCUGUCUUUGCAUUUCUUGGCGGUUUGCCUGUGAUGCCUGUCACGUGGUAGUUUCAAGCUAACUCAGUAAUAAUAGUGUUUUCUUUCUGCCUUUGCAGAGAGGGCUUCUGGGUUGGGAGGAUAUUUUGCUUUUCCUCCUGUUUCCCCAGCAAGUGGUAGCGGAGUGUCUGGGGAAGUCCUGGUCCUCCUGGCAGAGAGAAACCAGACUCCUGCAGAGUCUCAGAAGGUCCUCUUCACCCUUUCGGUGGCCACCUCUCUUCCCUGUCUGCUUCUGAGGUUCCCAGGACAUGUGAGGGAAUGACUGUAGGUUCAGUUGUGUCCCCUCCAAUUCUUUUGUUGAAAACCUGACACCCCACCCCCCAGGACCUUAGAACGCGCCUGUAUUCCGAGACAGGUUCUGGAGUGAUAACUGAGGUAAAACGAGGUCAUCUGGGUGGGUCCUGCAGGGGAAGGAAAAGGCUUCCUUGUACUCUUGGUCUUGUGGCUGGUCCAAGAACUAAGUUGACAUAAAACUGAUAAGCAGGAGACAAUAAUCGGUUUAAUUACACACAUAUGCAUGGGAGAUUCACAAAAAUACGAGACUCCAAGGCAGGUGGCCAGGUGACUGAGACACACGCCACCCUGAACUUCAGGAAGCAGCGGGGGUUUGGAGUUUCUGGGGCGGGGGAGGGGAGGAGAUCAGACAGCGUUUCCCUGGUUAUAGGAUGAGAAUCUCUCAGACAACAAAAUUAUCUCCGGGAGUAGUCCUCCUUCUGGAGCGGAGACCUUGAUUAAUGGAAAUUUCCUUUACGAAAGGGGAAAUAAAUACUUUACUUUAAGCACUUAUGGGGAGGUAAAGAGAUUUUCCUAUAGCUGCUGGUUUCCCAUCACCUUUAACCCCAAAUAAUUCUCGCACCAGAGUGGCACCUCCUAAAUCCCUUCAGCCACGAUCCCAUGACCGGUGUCCUUUUCAGGGGAGAUGGGGACACAGACACACACCAAGGGGAGGUCACGGGAAGACACAGAGGAAGACAGCCAUCUGUAAGCUGGGAAGUCAGGCCUCGGAGGCAGCACCCCGCAGAUGCUGCACACCUUGCUCUCAGGCUCCGGGUCUGGCGCGGUGCUAAGACAGUGUGUGCACAUCACGCUGCCUGGAGCCCGGAACUUGGCUGGGGCGGCCCCAGCAGACCCGUGCUAUGGCUCAGGGGGUUUCCCAGUCCCCUCCUCUGGUUCUCUUCCACUGUGGCUUAUGGACAGUCAACUUAGUCACCUGAGGCCUCAGAAACUUUUACCAAGACAAAAAGUAUACAGGCAUCGGUCUAAAGAGUCUCUGGUGCCCUUUCGCUGGUAGUCUGCACGCUUUUGAAACAGGAGUCUCUUUGUCCAGACGGAUCCUGAGUUUGUGUUGGGAGCCACGAUCCUUCUGUGUUAGAACCUGAGCCGCGGGGACAUGUUUACAUCUGGUUUUUACCUGGAAUUACCUUUGGUCCAUCCUCAUUGUGCUGAUUUGGGGGCCGAUUCCGGCCACCUGCUUAAAAUAGCUGCCCAGGGGGUGUACCCCAGUUGAUGGGGGACCUUGCCUUCGAGAGGCCAGGAGAGUGGAGAUCUCGCUGCACCAGGUGGAAAAUGCAACUGGGUGAAAUUUGAUCUGUGGAUUGUGGACGAGUUCACUCCAGGCAGGAAUAAAGCAUUUGAUUAAACUGCCGUUUAUGGGAAUCAUUAGGCUCCCGCUGUGCACGCUUGAUUGCUUGUGUGCUUAAAGCUCGCAUCUCAUUUGUGAUCCACUGCGUCAGGGCCCCGAGUGUGAGGCAGCCUGUUGCUUCUUCCCCCGUUUAUCAAACUGCCCAAUGUCGUUCUGCCCGGAGACAAUGGUGAACACCUUGGUUGUGGAAUCGCCGCAAGGAUGGUAAUCUCAUUAGAUUAGAAAGCAGGGCGAUUACCAGUCUGCACUCUGUCGAGCCAGCACCAGCCGCCGUGGCUGGGGAGUGCAUAAUAUUUGGACAACACUUUAUUAAUUAGCAUUCUUACCCCCCCCACCCCCCCCCCCCCCACCUUGCUGGGGAUGAUGACUCCUGAGUACUAAAUGAGUGUGAGCACAGACAACAAAGAAUGGCCUCAGUGUCCCAGUUACCAUGCCAACUAUCUCAUAGUCACUUUCCGAUGACAUUCUUGAUUGAUUCUUCGGGGAACUCUGGUUACCACGCCAGCUUAAGGCAGUCUUUUUUCUUGCGAUCUUGACAACAACGUUUCUCUUCCCUCCAAGGGAAAUACAAACUCAUCUUCAGGGUAGGUGUUAUUUCAACCUGAGAUUGUAACUUCUAUUAUUAAAUACUUAUCAAAAUUAAACAAAUGAUGUCAUUUUUACACGGAGGAAGAUUGCUCUCCGGUAUUGGGGCUUGGCCUCGAGGGAGCUGUCAAAGCUGCGAUUGUCUGCGGGAUCCGCUAGGUGGAGCAGCCGGAGAAAGCAUUUGCAUUCAGCUUUUGAAAUGAUGGAAGAAAUAAAUAAUGGGGCUCUUGAUAGGGCUGGGGAUAAAGUAAUGACUGUUUGCCUUUCUCGACAACUUUGGUAGAGAUCUUGGGAAUAAAAUGUCAGCUUGACAGCUUUUUAUCUGUCCAGCACAAAACUAUUCUGUUUCUAGUUAAGCAUACUAGGAGGAAAUAGACUUCUGAUUCAAAUUUAGACAUGAAUUUUAUUUUGCCUUAUUUUAUUUUAUAUUUUAGUUUAUUUUAUUUACUUUUUAAUUAGAGCAGUUCCUACUUUUCUGAAGGCAAAAGUAAAGUUAAAGAAAAUGAAGGAAUAAUCCUUUGCUGUGUCCCUUAAGAUGUAUGAAUAAUGAAGGCCCCAUGAGGUCUCUAUCCUGUUUGGCUUUCAACUUCAGGUAGUAAAAACUUUUCAUGCAAGAUAUUAUCUCCCUGGGAAUGGAAGCAGUGAGCGGCUUGGGUAUAUUUGUGAUGCUUAAUGCAUAUUCGAUGUGUAACAUUGUUUUCCCAUUAAACAAGCAUCUUUACUGGUGAAAAAUGAUUGGGUCACCUUGCCAGUGGCAUAUAAUUGCUGAAAAGAUGAAGCAUGGGCUUUGGAGUCCAGUCCAGGGGAACAGAUACACCCUGAGGUCAGACCGCGGACCACUGUGCCUGUGCCUGGCUCUCAUUCCCCUACAACAUGUGUCAUUUUGCUCGAGAUUGCUUCUGCUUGGACCUUGUCCAAUCUAAGCUGUGAUUUAGUAUUUAGCCACUUGCUCUUGGUUAGGGUGUGUUUGUAAACCUUUUCAACGCUUUUCUUUUACGUUUUAUUGAUACAGACUCUUUUAUUGGCUGCAGAAGAGGUACCCCUUGGAGAGUGAGCUCAGCCGCUGUCAUGGGCAGACAUGAAGAGGGUGACAGCUGCUACCUCGCCACAGGACAGACGCCUAAUGGGCCUGGGAAGUCGCUUUCCAGCUCUCUGAGGCUGGCUCCUUGGAACAGGCGGAGAGAGCGACAUGAUGGAUGCCUCAUCGGCCACCUCCCCAGGAGGACGCAGCGCUAACUUCAUUGCUUAUUGACUCAAGGCCCUGCCGCAAUAUGGUGUGAGGGACACGGGGAUUUGCUGACUCUUCCAAGGUCACGGGGAUUGUCACUGGCAUGCCUGGGACGCUCCGAGCUGCCUUCCGACUUUACGCCUCGAGUUUGUGCUACUCCUCCUUCACAUUUAACGCUGAGUUAGACGCUGGAAAGUUAGGGCUUUGCAAACCUGAAGUUCUCAAAGCCAGGAGGGCACAGUGCUGGGCAACACGAAUGUUCUAAUUAGACCAUUAGCUGCAUAAUGACCACAUCAAGAAAGAAGGGAGGGGGGCGGGGCCCACACAGCGUUCCAACUGCAUGGCAAUUGCUGCAAGCAUUUUUAAGAAUUUCUUCUGCCCUAAUUUUUUUUCAAACCCGCAGCACAGAUGCAGUGUCUGUCAGAGGUAUUCCUGGCUCCGUAGCAAUUUGCAGCCGGCAGGAUGGAGCCGGUGCCUCUCAGAUGGGCCGUGUCCUGACCGGCACAGGAGGUAGAGGGCUGGCUUCUAGUUGGGGGUCAUGUAGGAGCCCGUCCUUCACGGGGGUGCUGCUCGCCAGCCCCUUGGAGGAGGGGAGACCAUGUGUCACUCAACAGCCAGAGCUGCAGUGACACUUUUUUAUGGGCAGAGCCCAAGAAUCCCAGCCUUGUUAAGAAGGGCCCUUUUGACAAACUACAAGUCAAGGUUAACAAGUCAGCUACAGCCUUGACUGUGUUUUUCUAUGUAAGAUGCGUAGAAUCGGCCGUUCUGCAUGCUUUCUCUGUUAAGCACAUUUCUUUGUUUUCCCUUCAUUAAAUAAAGAAGCCAAGCUACCUGUCU